rnacentral:rRNA from 1 species
UACGUGGAGGGCGAGCGUUGUCCGGAUUUAUUGGGCGUAAAGAGCUUGUAGGCGGUCUGUCGCGUCUGCCUGUGAAAAUCCGGGCUCAACCCCGGACUUGCAGUGGGUACGGGCAGACUAGAGUGUGGUAGGGAGACUGGAAUCCUGGUGUAGCGGUGAAAUGCGUUGAGAUCGGAAGGAACGCCCGUGGCGAAAGCGAGGUCCUGGGCUCUUACUGACGCGUGAGACGCGAAAGCCAGGGGAGCGAACGG